AGCGAACGCUGGCGGCAGGCUUAACACAUGCAAGUCGAGCGCCCCGCAAGGGGAGCGGCAGACGGGUGAGUAACACGUGGGAACGUACCCUUCAGUUCGGAACAACCCAGGGAAACUUGGGCUAAUACCGGAUACGUCCGUAAGGAGAAAGAUUUAUCGCUGAAGGAUCGGCCCGCGUCUGAUUAGCUAGUUGGUGGGGUAAUGGCCCACCAAGGCUACGAUCAGUAGCUGGUCUGAGAGGAUGAUCAGCCACAUUGGGACUGAGACACGGCCCAAACUCCUACGGGAGGCAGCAGUGGGGAAUAUUGGACAAUGGGGGCAACCCUGAUCCAGCCAUGCCGCGUGAGUGAUGAAGGCCCUAGGGUUGUAAAGCUCUUUUAGCAGGGAAGAUAAUGACGGUACCUGCAGAAAAAGCCCCGGCUAACUUCGUGCCAGCCGCCGCCGUAACAC
rnacentral:rRNA from 1 species